UCAGAUUGAACGCUGGCGGCCCGCCUAACACAUGCAAGUCGAGCGGAAACGACACUAACAAUCCUUCGGGUGCGUUAAUGGGCGUCGAGCGGCGGACGGGUGAGUAAUGCCUAGGAAAUUGCCUUGAUGUGGGGGAUAACCAUUGGAAACGAUGGCUAAUACCGCAUAAUGCCUACGGGCCAAAGAGGGGGGCCUUCGGGCCUCUCGCGUCAAGAUAUGCCUAGGUGGGAUUAGCUAGUUGGUGAGGUAAUGGCUCACCAAGGCGACGAUCCCUAGCUGGUCUGAGAGGAUGAUCAGCCACACUGGAACUGAGACACGGUCCAGACUCCUACGGGAGGCAGCAGUGGGGAAUAUUGCACAAUGGGCGAAAGCCUGAUGCAGCCAUGCCGCGUGUAUGAAGAAGGCCUUCGGGUUGUAAAGUACUUUCAGUUGUGAGGAAGGGUGUGUAGUUAAUAGCUGCGCAUCUUGACGUUAGCAACAGAAGAAGCACCGGCUAACUCCGUGCCAGCAGCCGCGGUAAUACGGAGGGUGCGAGCGUUAAUCGGAAUUACUGGGCGUAAAGCGCAUGCAGGUGGUUCAUUAAGUCAGAUGUGAAAGCCCGGGGCUCAACCUCGGAACUGCAUUUGAAACUGGUGAACUAGAGUGCUGUAGAGGGGGGGUAGAAAUUUCAGGUGUAGCGGGUGAAAUGCGUAGAGAUCUGA
rnacentral:rRNA from 1 species